rnacentral:rRNA from 1 species
CACGUAGGGGCCGAGCGUUGUCCGGAUUCAUUGGGCGUAAAGAGCUCGUAGGCGGUUCAGUCAGUCGGGUGUGAAAUCUCCGGGCUCAACUCGGAGGGGCCACCCGAUACUGCUGUGACUUGAGUCCGGUAGGGGAGUGGGGAAUUCCUGGUGUAGCGGUGAAAUGCGCAGAUAUCAUGAGGAACACCGGUGGCGAAGGCGCCACUCUGGGCCGGUACUGACGCUGAGGAGCGAAAGCGUGGGGAGCAAACAGG